rnacentral:rRNA from 1 species
GACGAACGCUGGCGGCGUGCUUAACACAUGCAAGUCGAACGGGAUCCGGGCUUUCGGGUUUGGUGAGAGUGGCGAACGGGUGAGUAACACGUGAGUAACCUGCCCCCUUCUUUGGGAUAACGUCGGGAAAUCGGCGCUAAUACUGGAUAUUCUUGCUGCAUCGCAUGGUGUGGUUUGGAAAGGGUUUCUGGUGGGGGAUGGGCUCGCGGCCUAUCAGCUUGUUGGUGGGGUGAUGGCCUACCAAGGCUUUGACGGGUAGCCGGCCUGAGAGGGUGUCCGGCCACACUGGGACUGAGACACGGCCCAGACUCCUACGGGAGGCAGCAGUGGGGAAUAUUGCACAAUGGGCGCAAGCCUGAUGCAGCGACGCCGCGUGAGGGAUGACGGCCUUCGGGUUGUAAACCUCUUUCAGUAUGGAACAAGGAUCCUUCUGUUGGGGGUUUGAGGGUACGUGCAGAAGAAGCGCCGGCUAACUACGUG